rnacentral:tRNA from 1 species
GGGCGUAUAGCUCAGUUGGUUAGAGCGCUGCGUUCACAUCGCAGAGGUCUCAGGUUCGAAUCCUGAUACGCCCACCA